GAUGCAGUCGAACAUUACAGCUCUCUAGUUCGCCAAAGGUUCUACCCAGGGAAGAAAUGCAUAUCAGGGGACACUGGAAGCUGCCCCCUUCAUUCUUCCAAUAUCAUGAUUCUUUUGGUUGUCCAGCCAGGGGAAGCAUGGGCAUCACUUGGGAAUGCAUGCAACAUGUCCUAGGCUUCAAUACUUUUCAUCCAUUCCCAAGGAUCAUUACAAUGUGCUAGUUUAUGGGUGGUAAAUGGGUUUCUAGCUGGUAUAAGUACUACACAGCACACAAACAAAACAAGUCAACAGCAACCCCUUCUGUCUCGAUCGGCCACUGACAGAAAUGCAUUUAGUAUCACCAAAGUCCCUUAAAAAAAACAGUACCAAACAGCCUCGCCUCAUUAGAAAAGUAGUGCGAAUCUCCAAUAGGAGAGGAACAACAUGCAUGCCAAACUGUUACAUCUUUAAACUUUCUUGAACGAAUGGACGGUGAAAGUAUCAAAGCGUAGAAUAAUUCCAUCUAUAUCUCGGAGUUGAUUUGAUGAUUCUUACAGUUCAUUGAAGGGGUCGUGAAAGAGAGUGAAGGGAAAGAUACUCAGCUGCUUUUGUUCAGUUAUUCUUCCUCGUGAGGUGAUGUCCUUUUCGCGAGCCGUUCAAGACUGGAAAUGCAGCUCUUCUAGGUCAACCAAGUACCUUUCUGAAUGUUGCUUUCUUCUCUUUGUAUUAUUGUUUCAGUAUGCGGUUUAGUCCACGCAUUCGGCCACCCCUGAAAGGAGAAAAGGAAAAGAUAUUGACAAAGGAAAAUAUACCAAUAUCAGUUCUUUACUGUUUUUCUCUACAAUACUUUGUCCUGUACUAUUGCUCAUGACUCCAUGCCAAGUGGCCAGAUCUUAUUUAGUUCCAAGUCACAUAAGGCAGAGAGCACUAGUACUCCCUCCGUCCCAAUAUAAGUGCAUUUAGGACAGGAUGUGAUAUAUCCUAGGACUACAAAUCUGGACAGUUGUCUGUUCAUAUUCGUAGUCCUAGGAUAUGUCACAUACUAUACUAGGUGUAUUUAUAUUGGGACGGAGGGAGCAGUACUUAAAGUAUAUUUGCAACUUUUUACUGAACUUGGUGUGCUGUGUCAGGCGACUACUCCAGAGGAUUGAUUACUUCAUGCCUUGACAAUGAUGUGAAGUAGCAUGACCUUGCGAUUCAUAUGGGUAAGCUUAAUUAUCAAAACAGAAUUGCAGUUAAGUAGUAAGAUCACAGCACUGCACGAAGCAAAACUUUCAAAAUAUUAUACUCGUGCAAGUACAAGCCAGUUAGUACCAAUAGGAAUAUAUACUUGCAUCAUGCCCAACUCCAGAGUUUAAGGUCGUUUUGAGAGUUGAGACAGCUUACUUGUUUGUAGUCGGGGAUCGAGGCAUAUAUACACCCAACCCAGUUCAUUGAGUGAUCAGUAGAGAGAUUCUUCCCCUCUUCUCCUGCCAGCUCUUCCAGG
rnacentral:lncRNA from 1 species